AAAAAAAAAAAAAAGAUUGAAGCAACAGCGGGCGAACUUGCAUGCAUGCAAUCCCAGCACUUCCCAGGGAUUCUGAGACAGAAGAAUCGUGCUUUCAAGGCCAGCCUGACAGAGAGACCCUGUUUGAAAAAACAACAAAAGACCUGACAUUUUGCUGGGCUGUUGAGAAGCAUUGCAGAACUGCUUGCAUUAUAACUGUAGCCUCUGGUAGACUGUUGCAAGUAUCUAGUUUCUUUUGUACCUAUUUAAGAUCCUUCAUUUCUACUGAUGCCUUGGCUUGGUCACUGGGAUGGGGCCAGGGCAGGGUUCACGAAGGAGGCAAACAAAAGCUAUAAACAUGUGUUUGAAUUAGUUUCAGAUUUCAACAACUACUAAUUUAGAAUGUUCAUGGUGAUUCUGAAUUAAGGCUACAGAGGGCAUUGACAUUUCUGUGGAUGGAACUGAGAGUUGACCUGCUCUUGUCAUCGCUGAAAGACAGCCUGAAAUUUCCUAUGAACACAACCACCUCCCUGCUGUGAUUAAGCAAGCAUGGAGACAUAAUCAGAGGUGGCCAACCAGAUUCUCUCCUGAAAGGUGGAGCCUGGACACACACAGAGUACAUCUAUUGAGUGUGAGAGCCCUGCUCUCGUAGACUUCAAGGUGCUCAAGAGUUGGCCCAUACGACACAUUUUGUUCUGAUACAUUUUCUGCCCUACACCUUGUUGUCACGAUGCCAGGUAGUUAGUAGUCACUCUUAAUCCAAGACCACCACUAAUAACUUCUCUACUACUGUACAGAGC